rnacentral:rRNA from 1 species
CCUACGGGCGGCUGCAGUGAGGAAUAUUGGUCAAUGGACGAGAGUCUGAACCAGCCAAGUAGCGUGAAGGAUGACUGCCCUAUGGGUUGUAAACUUCUUUUAUAUGGGAAUAAAAUGUUCCACGUGUGGGAUUUUGUAUGUACCAUAUGAAUAAGGAUCGGCUAACUCCGUGCCAGCAGCCGCGGUAAUCCGGAGGAUCAGAGCGUUAUCCGGAUUUAUUGGGUUUAAAGGGAGCGUAGUGGGAUUGUUAAGUCAGUUGUGAAAGUUUGCGGCUCAACCGUAAAAUUGCAGUUGAAACUGGCAGUCUUGAGUACAGUAGAGGUGGGCGGAAUUCGUGGUGUAGCGGUGAAAUGCUUAGAUAUCACGAAGAACUCCGAUUGCGAAGGCAGUUCACUGGACUGCAACUGACACUGAGGCUCGAAAGUGUGGGUAUCAAACAGGAUUAGAUACCCUUGUAGUC